rnacentral:rRNA from 1 species
UACGUAGGGUGCGAGCGUUGUCCGGAAUUAUUGGGCGUAAAGGGCGCGUAGGCGGCUUGGCAAGUGGAAGGUGAAAUCCCUCGGCUUAACCGAGGAACUGCCUCCCAAACUGCUUGGCUUGAGACCAGGAGAGGUGAGUGGAAUUCCCAGUGUAGCGGUGAAAUGCGUAGAUAUUGGGAGGAACACCAGUGGCGAAGGCGGCUCACUGGACUGGUACUGACGCUGAUGCGCGAAAGCGUGGGGAGCAAACGGG